GCUGGGUGUGGUGGCGGGUGCCUGUAAUCCCAGCUACUCGGGAAGCUGAGGCAGGAGAAUCACUUGAACCUAGGAGGCAGAGGUUGCAGUGAGCCAAGAUGGUGCCACUGCAUUCCAGCCUAGGCGACAGAGUGAGACUCUGUCUCAA
rnacentral:SRP_RNA from 2 species